UGGGGAAUAUUGCACAAUGGGGGAAACCCGUGAUGCAGCAACGCCGCGUGAGUGAAGAAGUAUUUCGGUAUGUAAAGCUCUAUCAGCAGGAAAGAAGAUGACGGUACCUGACUAAGAAGCCCCGGCUAACUACGUGCCAGCAGCCGCGGUAAUACGUAGGGGGCAAGCGUUAUCCGGAUUUACUGGGUGUAAAGGGAGCGUAGACGGUUUUGCAAGUCUGAAGUGAAAGCCCGGGGCUUAACCCGGGACUGCUUUGGAAACUGUAGGACUAGAGUGCAGGAGAGGUAAGUGGAAUUCCUAGUGUAGCGGUGAAAUGCGUAGAUAUUAGGAGGAACACCAGUGGCGAAGGCGGCUUACUGGACUGUAACUGACGUUGAGGCUCGAAAGCGUGGGGAGCAAACAGGAUUAGAUACCCUGGUAGU
rnacentral:rRNA from 1 species